rnacentral:rRNA from 1 species
GUGGAUUAGAUACCCUGGUAGUCCACGCCGUAAACGAUGGAUACUAGCUGUUGGGAGCAAUUUCAGUGGCUAAGCGAAAGUGAUAAGUAUCCCACCUGGGGAGUACGUUCGCAAGAAUGAAACUCAAAGGAAUUGACGGGGGCCCGCACAAGCGGUGGAGCAUGUGGUUUAAUUCGAUGAUACGCGAGGAACCUUACCAAGGCUUAAAUGUAGAUUGACCGUUUUGGAAACAGAACUUUCGCAAGACAAUUUACAAGGUGCUGCACGGCCGUCGACAGCU